AGCAAAGCUGACAGUUUGCUUAUCACUUAUUCUCACAAGAUGUGCACAGUUCUCAAACAGGACCUUUUCUUGCAGGAUCUAUGGCCUGAAGAGAAUGAAACCACUGAAAAAUGAAAUAGAAUUCUUCAAGGGACUCUAUUCCACGGAAAGAAUGUUGCUACUGGAAAACUUCUACAGAGCUGCGUGACUUUAUCAUCUUUUAAGAUUCAUCAGCAUUCAGCGGAGAACCAGACAGAGAAAAAACGUGGUAUGAUCUGCGACAUCAAGGCAAAGGGCCCAAAAGUUGUUCUGGCCCUGGGAAAGGGUCCCAGAGUCAGACUGGCCAGCUUUUACCACGGCUGAUGGUCCAGCAUGCCGGCCGGAGCCCCCGCCUCCUUGGGGCACCUUGAGAAGACCAGGCAACAGUGGCUGCACCAGUUCGCAUUCCCACCAGCAGUGCCCUAGGGUUCUCUUUUC
rnacentral:lncRNA from 1 species